AUGUGAUGGUAGAAACCUUCAGGAACCUGGCCUCUGUUGAGGAAGAUCAGACCAUUGAAGAGGUUUACAGAAAUUCCAGAAGAAAUCUAAGAAGUCAAGUGGUAGGGGGAUUCCGUGAACACAAAGAAGAUAUUCA